AAUUUGGGAACGAGAUGCCCGGGGAUGCAACCAGCCCCGCGCUCGGAGGCGGCGGUCGGAGUUCCGUGCGCAGAGGGCACACAAAAGCCUCGAGGAUCAUUGCCUCGACCCCAUCCCCCACCGCGCGGCGACGCCCCCUACGGGCUGGGACACCUCCACUCUCGGACUGCUGCCGGGUUUCCCUCCGGCUGCGACCCUGGAGAGUUUGCCAUCUCCGUACCACCACCACCACCACACACAGCACCCUCAAGACUCCCUGUGAUCCUGGGAUGCACUCAACGAAGAGUGUGUGGCCCAGGAUUUGAUGGAAAUGCUACAAGAGAAGCAGGCUCUCCCCUUCUGAAAUGAUGAGUGAUAAUGACCAUACAGGUCAACUUUUCCACCACUUGGAGGGAGCCUGUCAAAGAACAAAGGCAACAGAGAAGAGAGCAGAGCUGAGGUUGGGUGAGAGGGAGAAAUUCCUGAGUGCUUGAAUCCCACAUGCCGGAAGCCGCACCACACUUGGACUUCUCAAUACAGGAGCCACUGAGAAACCAAGUCAUGCUGAAGACCUGGAAAUCCCAGCAGGCUGCAAACCAGCUGCAACUACAAUGGGUCAGCCCUUUUGAGAUGCUGCUGACUACCCACUUAUCUGCCAAGUUAGCCAGUGUUAAGCCAUGGAUUCACCACGCUCAGAUAAAACCUGCCCCUCUGGGAUCCCUCCAGAAAAAAACAGGCAUGCUGUUGUGAACCCUAAGAUGGCCUUAAGUUAAUAUUCAAUGCCCAGCCAAAGACCCUAAAUAAGAAGUCAUAAAGGAAACAUGUGCUUUUCAGCUCAUCUGUAGGAUCACUUCGAUUUGCACUCUUUUUGCAAAGGCAAAACAUCUAAAGAAGAGACAGUAUCCAUACACUUGUCUACUCAUUAUUAUCAUUCGAGACAGACAAAACGCCCACCUGGGGAGGAAAUUCCCCAUGAAAAAGACAGAGUCAUGUGAAGCUGGCUGGGUGCCCUCAAUCCAGAAGAGGAGCCCACGGCCCCAAGGAAUGGGGAAGCCACCACUACCACUUGGAAGGAGGCUGUAUCCCUGAAUGGCACUGUGGAGCAUACACAUUUCUCCCCAUUCACUGGCCAGAGUUAGACUGUAACAAAGGAAUCAAGAAGGGUGGAGAGUGUAUCUGCAGAAGGAAUCAGCUGAGUUUGGAGACUAUUUUGAUAUCCUGAUUCCCUCUU
rnacentral:lncRNA from 1 species